UUAAGAUAGCUUGGCCAUCAACAACACAGAUAAUCAAAUGUCUUGAUGUGGAAAUGUCAUAAGUUAGCAAGGUAAGGGGAGGCCUAAGAUAACGUGGAGAGAAAUAGCAUAAAAGGAUUUACAAGUCUUGGAUACUGAUGCAGACCUGGUGUCUAAGAGAGUUGAAUGGCGAAAAAUAUUCCAUAUAACCGACCCCAACUAGUUUGGAAUCAUAGCUUAGUUGUCAUUGCUGUUGUUAAAAUGAAUUCUUAUUUUAAGUUAAAAAAAUUGAAUUCUUUCAACUAUUAGGUUUUUCAAAGAUAAGAAUUGA
rnacentral:misc_RNA from 1 species